rnacentral:rRNA from 1 species
UUCUACGGCCAUGCUACUCUGAACAAGCCCGAUCCCGUCUGAUCUCAGAAGCUCAGCAGGGUUGGGCCGGUUAGUACUUGGAUGGGAGACCACCUAGACCGACCAGGUGCUGUAGGUG